UGAGGAAUAUUGGUCAAUGGACGUAAGUCUGAACCAGCCAAGUAGCGUGCAGGAUGACGGCCCUAUGGGUUGUAAACUGCUUUUAUGCGGGGAUAAAGUGAGGGAUGCAUCCCUUUUUGUAGGUACCGCAUGAAUAAGGACCGGCUAAUUCCGUGCCAGCAGCCGCGGUAAUACGGAAGGUCCGGGCGUUAUCCGGAUUUAUUGGGUUUAAAGGGAGCGUAGGCCGUCGUUUAAGCGUGUUGUGAAAUGCCGCGGCUCAACCGUGGCACUGCAGCGCGAACUGGGGGGCUUGACUGCACGCAACGCAGGCGGAAUUCGUGGUGUAGCGGUGAAAUGCUUAGAUAUCACGAAGAACUCCGAUUGCGAAGGCAGCUUGCGGGAGUGCGACUGACGCUGAAGCUCGAAGGUGCGGGUAUCGAACAGGAUUAGAUA
rnacentral:rRNA from 1 species